rnacentral:tRNA from 2 species
GAGACCUUGGUUUAAUAGGUAGAGCACCUAAUUGUCAAUUAGGAGGGCGUCAGUUCGAGUCUGACAGGUCUCG